GUUGAAUGCAGUCAUGCCGUCGUAUGGGUACAGUGUGUGAGACAGCAGUGUAUGUCGUGUAGUCGGUAAUAGUUUACCACCGUUUCGGAGAAAUGAACUGCCUCCAUCUUCAAGAACGAAAACUCGUGAUGGAGCGUCGCGACGUCAUCCUGACGGCCGUCUUGUCCACCCUGGCUGCUCUCAUUACACUGGGCGUGACUCUGUUCAUCUGUUACUGGUGGCACAAGAGGAAGCGCAAGAGAGACGAGGAAGACGGCGAACAGGGAGACAGGGGAGGCGCUAAGGUCCGCAUGGACACCGGCGCCAGCAAGGAGGGGCGCUCCAACGGGUUUCUGAGCCUCAAGACUCCUCUCAUCAGCACCAAGACCCUGGGAGCUCAGCUAGAGACUGCCGGGACGCCCGGGAGCAAGUCCCCCGCGGGGUCCGGUGGGGCGUCCGGCUCCGUCCCAGAGGUGAAGACUCCCACCGCGCCGCAGAACAAGGCCCUGCAGAAUGUCAAAGGAGAACACCCUUCGAUGGCUUUCCUGCAGAACCGCUCUAUCUCCUUGGUGGACAUGUACAUUGACAAUACGGAGCCCUCAGAGAACGUGGGGCAGAUCCACUUCAGCCUGGAGUACGACUUCCAGAACACAACGCUCAUCUUGCGGAUACUUACGGCGAAAGAGCUGCCGGCAAAGGACAUCUCUGGGACAUCAGACCCAUACGUCCGGGUGACACUACUCCCGGACAAGAAGCAUCGCCUCGAGACCAAGAUUAAGCGACGCACACUAAAUCCGCGCUGGAAUGAGACAUUCUACUUUGAAGGAUUUCCUAUUCAGAAGCUGCAAAGUCGAGUUCUACACCUGCAUGUCUUUGACUAUGAUCGCUUUUCAAGGGAUGACUCUAUAGGAGAGGUCUUCCUGCCACUUUGUCAGGUGGACUUGUCAGAGAAGCCCUCAUUCUGGAAGGCCCUGAAGCCACCAGCAAAAGAUAAGUGUGGUGAACUGCUUACAUCAUUGUGUUACCACCCAAGCAACAGCAUCCUCACACUAACACUCCUCAAAGCAAGGAAUCUCAAGGCCAAGGAUAUCAAUGGAAAGUCUGACCCAUAUGUGAAAGUGUGGCUUCAGUUUGGAGAUAAGCGCAUUGAGAAGCGCAAGACUCCCAUCUUCAAGUGCACACUGAACCCUAUCUUCAAUGAGACCUUCAGCUUUAAUGUUCCAUGGGAGAAGAUUCGUGAAUGUUCCCUUGAUGUCAUGGUCAUGGACUUUGAUAAUAUCGGAAGGAAUGAGCUCAUUGGCCGUAUUCAGUUAGCAGGAAAGAAUGGCUCUGGUGCGUCAGAAACAAAACACUGGCAGGACAUGAUCACCAAACCUCGGCAGACAAUAGUCCAGUGGCAUAGGCUGAAGCCAGAGUAGUGUCCCAUCACAGCAUCUGAAUGGAGUAACGUUUCACAGUCACCGUAUUUACUUGAAUUAUGGGAUGUAUGAUGCCUAUAGUACCUGUUGCAGAUAUUACAAAGCACAGUAUUUCUGGUGCUUCAGAUGUCUGCCUGUAUUGAUGAGACUGCUCUCAUUUGUUCAUUUAUUGAGGUAAUUAUUAUAGAUUUCUGUGUACAGAAAAUUACUGUGGAGUAAGUGCAUAUCAUUGGUUGGAGCUGGAUGAAUUGGCAUAGUGUUAGCAUUCUGUAUUCAGGAGGUCCUUGGUUCAAAACUUGGUUGUGACAUUGACUGUGCUGGCUGUUUUUUCAUGGUUUUUCUUAGUCCUUACUGGAAAAUACUAUGCUUAUAUCUUGAUUGAGGCCAUUUUUACCUCCUUUUAAGUCCUUUCCACUUCAUUAUCCAUGUAUCAUCCUACCAUUUUAAGUUAUAUAGUGUAGUUACAGACAGUAUCAUAAGUCAUUGGCUGGAUUUUUAUGAAAACCAGCAUAUACAGAUUCUGCCAUAUUAUACGGAGUAAAUUUCAAGCAAGACAUUGAAAGGUGAUCGCUGACCUAUGAUGACCUGACACCCCCUGCAUUUAUGACCACUUUUCAUGUCAGAUUUAUGCUGAAAAUUCCCCAACUAACAUUCAUGGCUUGUAUUUACAACUGCACACAAUGAAUUCCACUUAUCACCUCAAGACUAAAGCAUGCUGCAUCUGUCAGACCGUUUGGCCUGUUGCUGCUGCUUGAACAACGUAUUUUUUCAUCUUAACACUCUUUACUUUACGUUUUAGUUGUUGUAUUGCUGUGCCUUUAGUGGCAUGUUUUGUUGGUCUCAGUGACUAAUAAAAGGAGAAGUAAUACACACAGUACAAAACCAAGCAAGAAGCCUUUACUUCAAAAAUUAAACAUGAAGCUUUGAGACUUUAUAGUUCAGGCAUUAAGUGACUAAUUAAUUUGAGCUGGCUCAGUUGCCUGUGAGUACAAUUUCCUGGACCAGGCUGAGCACUUAAAGGAAGUGAAAAUAAAAGGCCAAUGUAAGCAACACUGAUGAGAAAAUAUGAAGGCUUCAUACCAUAGAUCAAAAAAGCUGUUUAAUAUGUGAUUAUCAGACACAGUGACUGCAUUAGCCUGUCAAUCACGCAAUGAUUUUGUCAAAGGCUAAGAUCCCCCUUUCAAUUGCUUAAGGAUAAAGAUGAUGACAUAUCCAACUAUGAGAUUUUCAUCACUAGCAAUGGCUGGUUUCACCACUUUUAGAAGAAGGUUGACUGACAUAACACUUGAGUCCAAGGACAAGCAGCCAGUGCUAACAUGGAAACAGUGAAGGAUAUUUUGCACCAUUUAGCAGAAAUUAUCGAAAAUAAGACUCUUGCUUUCACCGCGUUUUUCCGUGCUGACAAAAUAAGCCAUCAUUGACAGAAAAUGCCAUUGAGAGCUUACACAGUGAAGGAAGUUUAUGCUGGGAUUCAAAGCAGCAAAAGAUCUACCAACUUUGCUGCAGAAGCAGUGCCACCCCCUUUCGCUUUCGUCUGAUAACAUUCCCUCUUUGCAGAGAACAAUUUAUAUAACAGGAAAGAAUUGAACCCUUACUAUAUGAAUUUUUAAAAUAUAUUUUAUUUUUUUAGUGAAUGCGUGUUUUCAGUUAUUACUAAAUGUCUGUAAAGGCAUGUAAUUAGUGUUUUAUUAGCGUUCUUCCAUCUUCUAGUCUAUUUUAUUAAUUUUAUAGUAAGUUAAGGGUUUCCAGGAAUGGAACUGUAAUUUAUAACAUAGCACUUAUGGGAAAUAUGAGUUUGACUUAUGAUAACUCAACAUAAGACAGCUUUCAGGAAUCAAUUAGUGUGUAAGUGCAGGGGUCAUCUGUAUAGAUUUGUUGCCUUACAGCACAGGUUCUCUCUUGCCAUAUCUUAUUUCAGACUUUUUUGACAUUUUGAUUUGCCCUUCAGAGCUGUCAGUAUGACUGGCUGUGGAAGCCUGCUGCUGUAAAUAUAUAAUGGCACUCCAAAAUAAGAUUAUUUAAAUGUUUAAUUUCUAAUGUGUUGUUAGCUUAGCUCUAAAAUCAAUGAGAAUUUAAUUUUCAGCCAUAUCAUUUCUACCAACUUGCAGCACAGUUGUUUUUUUAUAAUAAAUUAACACUUGUACUAGAGCAUAUUAUCUGAAAUUUUGAUUGUAAAUAAACCUAUGACAGUACUUAACAUAAUAAUAAUAUAGUUUUGGAAAUGAUGGGGAGGCAGAUAAAUUUAUGAGUAACUAUAAUUUCUAUUGUGGUUAAACAGCUUUCUUUAAAAUAUUGAGCUGUGAUACUCUUAAAGCGUGUGAUUGUCAUGGAGCUUCCCACAGAUCAUUACUAUCUCUGGCAGAAGUGUCUGAGACUCCUACUCUCUAGUUGUGCAGUGGUGGUAUGGACUGCUAGCAAAAUCAACAAACCUGUAGCAUAACAAACUACAAAUAAAGAGUACAGCAGAUUCUAGAUAUAUUCUCCAUCUUUAUGCAUGCAUUCCAGUCACCUCCAUAAAAGGUUUGCAUUCACACAUUGAAGUUAUUUUUUGGAGAUAUAGUAAAUUUUGAAUGUGAAACCACAUUCUCCUGCACAAGAUAUCUCAGGAAUUUCAAAAAAGAUGUACAAGCCUGUCACCAUUUUCAUCAAAUUACUUUUCAGCAAGCACUUAACAUUUAGAUUGGGUUCCUGCCCCCAUGAUUAAAUUAUGGUAGGCUUGAGCAUUCUCUUGACUACAGCAGCGACAGUGAUGAAAACAACAGCAGCAAAGACAACAAGAACAAGAGGGAGCAUUUCCAACAUCUGCAGCAAUCUUAAUAAGUUUUGUUUGCAGUUUGUUAGGCCAUAGGUUUGCUGAUUCUGCUGCAGGAAGCUCUGGGUUGAUCAUACUGUAUUAUUAGGUGUGAUAAGACAAGGAAUCUUGUUAAAUUUUGUGUCAUUGCUACUGGCUUCUAAGACUAGGGCACAUGAUCUGCAGGAUCAGAGGAUGUUAUACAUUAUCUGAAUCCAACUUUUAUCUGUAGAUAAGUGUUUACAAGCAAUUUCAAAUGAAACCACAUUUUUUUUUGUUCCCUUGUUACAUGUUGGCAUGUAAUUAUUCAUUUCAUUAAUGUUAAACAUGUUAUUCCUUUUAGAGAUAAUGGAAUGGGUUUGUAAUAUAUUCUGUAUGUUUCAUUGUCAAAAAAUAAGUUUGUCCAUGUAUAAGGCAUAUAAAUCCAAAGUAAGUUGCUUAUGCUUCAAAAUCAUUUAUGGAUUGAAAAUAAUAGGGAUUUAGAAAACAUAAAAUAUGAAAAUGAUAAGGAUAAAAUUUGAUAAUGCUAGUAAUGAAAACAAUACUAAUAAUAAUCGUAAUGGCAUAAAUAUAUCCAUAAUUCACAUUCAGAUAUUAACAGUGUUUGACAUCAGUUAUGGGUGCAUGGACAAACUUGAAUAUAAUGUAAAUUCCAUAAUGUGAACAGUGGAACUUGAAUUGUUAAAAUAUAUGGGGAGUCACAUGUUAAUUUUAUUAUAAUUUAGAUUUUAUUAAGAAACAAAAGAAAAGAGAAUCGUAGUGCCUAUUGUUAAAUGUCUGUGUGUUACUAUAUUUAAACAAAAUUGUAUUGUGAUCAGUCUGAAACUAAUAUGUGACAAACUUCAAGAAAAUAUAAGGAUAAUGAUCAGUUGUGUAAAUAGUGUUCACAAGUCUUUGAUAGGAUGCUGACAUAGUAUGCUGCCUUAAAUCACUGGAUUUGUUGAUUUGAUUUGUUGAUAGUCAAACCAUGUACAUGGAGAUGGCCAGGAUUUCUUUCUGAAGGGAAAAGACUAGUUUAUUUGAGGGGGAAGAGGAUAAUUUUACAUAUUAUGCUAUUUCUUAUUGAUCAUAGUAGAAUAUUCAGGAUAGAAGACUAAAUUUAUUUAAAAAUAAUUCUAAUUUCUGGUGUUCAUUUUUUUUUCCCCCAUUACAAUCCUGCAGGAGGGAAGAUGAUUCGCUUGUCCUUCUCUUCCCCCAUCAGUGCCCAUGGCCACUGACACAUAAUAUGAAACAUAUCCACCUCUUCAAUCCCACUACCUACAAUCUUACCAAAAUUUCUGUACUUCACUUUUAUAUUCAGUUAGAAUGAUUGAAGACAGCUGGGAAUAUUAGCUUCACAUGGCUAUUCUAUAUUCACUUAACGGUGCUUCUGAAACGUACUGUUUUGAUUCAUUUCAUAUUGAAUGAUCUAAUCUGCCAGAAAUCUAAUCUAAUCACUGCCAGUAAUGGCAUCUGCCAAUCAACUAAAUGUGCUCUGCUAAUGCUAAAUGUGACUAAAAAUUAAAUAUUACUGUCUUCUGGGAGACGGUGCCAUGUACUUUGCUGGGUGUUUACUGAUUUUUAGAGGAACAUUCUGCAUCUGUCUUCGGUGCAAAGGAAAUUUCUAGCCUGAUGGAGACAGGCCAUUCUUUAAAAAGUUUGGUUAACACCUAUAAGAUUACAUGAUGUCACAUUCCAGAAGAUGCUAUCAAAUCUCACAUGAUUACAGAAGUUUUGCACUCAGCAUUCAAGAUAUUAAACCUCUUCUCCCCUUCCAGAAAAACUUCACGGUUCAUAAUACGAACUGUGAUGAACUAAUUUAUAGACUGAUAUUGAUAAAUUUAGUAAAGUAAUUUGUUUUUUCUAGCCAAAAAUUUUUCUAUUAGUCUAAUUUCAGCCUUACAUCCCUGGCCUGCAUAUUUAAAUUAACAAUUAAAUGCCUGGCAAUGAAUGUGUCAGUAUAGCUCUUUUUAAGUAAAACUUUGUUAAUACAGAAAGUAUGUCCACCAGUUUAUAUUUUUCAUGCUCAAUGGGGGGCAAACGGUGCAAGGAAUUACUUAAAUCAAUACUUUUAAGAUAUAUCAUAACUGAAAUUUCUGAAUUCAAGAGUUUUCGUCUUGACAUGGUUUAAUAUGAAAAUGAAUUGCUGUGCAGUGUCGUACCAGGACUUGUGGAACUAUCAAUUUAUUUACAAUAGUUCUUGAAACUAUAGAACUGUAUACAGUAAUUACAUGAGAAAGUACAUUUCUAGAUUUCAGUGGACAAAAAAAUUGAAAAAUAUGUUGAAUGAAGGAUAUAUAUCAGGUGAUUAUACCCGGUAUGUUACUGAGAGUAGAAUAGCUACUGAAGUGUUACAGCUUGCACGUAGCAUUUUGAGAUUUGAGAAAAAAAUCACAAAGAUCUUAACAAUUUGUCAUGUCUCUUAGGACUCUUCCCCUUUAUAUUUGACAGCAAGAGCAUUGUUAAUCAUGCAGAUAUAUUUUAAAUUUGAGUGUGUGUAUAUAAAUGCCCAACAUAUAUAUUACAUCAACAAAUUCUCACAAUAUUGAGCUCCAGAAAGUGGACAUUCCUCCAGGUAACUAUAUUUUUUAUAAUUUUGAUCUUAUUGCUGUAAUGUUACUUAGGUUCAGUUCAUUAGACAGAGAGUAAAUUAUAUGCUUGAAGUGAGUUUAGUAUGUUUUCAAUUAAUGCAGCUUCUGUUAAUUUAAAACUAUUAAGAGGGAAACAUUGCUGUGGCAAAUAUGAAACUAUUAGGUAUGGAACAUUCAUAUUUCCAGUGAUUGCAAACAUAAACGUUUGCUUUUACUGCCAGCAGACAGCUGCAUAUAGCAAUGCAAAAUGGCAUGUAUGUCUCAGUUAUGGGAAAGUGAUCCAAGGCACAUUGUCACUUUGAAGAUUAUGCAACUUGUCACCACACUGAAACCCAUUUCAAAACUCUUACCAGGAUCCAAAACAUAUUGGAACUACAGCAGUCCCUAGGGCUAUGCCGAAGAAUUCUAUAUUUUGUUUCUUCUUGCUGUAGUAAAAUUAUGGACAAUAAAUGCAACAUCGUGCAACAUAUAGCGAUAGUGAUUUUAUGAACUCCAGUCUUCUGCAGCUUGUAGCCCCAGCCAUCACAGCAGAAAGCUUAUCAGACAGUAAAAUAUUCAUCUUUUCUAAAGUUCUGAAGUUUUACUUCAGCCCACCUGGCAUUUUACGCUUCAUUUUUAAGUUAAGGAAUUUAAUAAAUUAUUCAGCCAUUUGCUGAAUGUUAGCAUUUUGUAAACCACAAUUUACUUCCUGCCACUUCAAGCACUGGGUAGAUUUUUUACAACAUACAAAUUGUAGUGAUUUGAAAGUUUCAGAACAUUUAUGCCAGAUUAGACUUAUUUCUAUAUGUGUUGCUAGGUAGUCGGCCAAAGACUACUGAUGUUUCAGAGGAACAUGCUACCUCCAUCUCCAGAUUUGGAGAAUAGGCCAAGCAAACAGAAUAAAUGAAAAUGAAGGCAGCAUGUUCCUCUGAAAUGUCAGUAAUCUUUGCCAGACUAUGCAGUGUCACAUUCCAGUAGGCAGCACUCUCCAUAGUCAUUGCUGUGAGAACCCGAAAUCUCACAAGGCUUGUUUUAUUGUAAUAUGAUGGAAAUUAGACUUGACAAUAACCUUGCAAACUAAUUUUUCAAAACAUAUUUGUACAAAGAAAAUGAGUAGCUGAUAUCUUUUCUUUCAUGAGGAAUGGUGAUGAAGUGACUUAAAGCAUACACACAAAUUUUUCAAGAAAUAAAUCUUAUAGUUGUAGCACCAUACUGGUUUGAGAGAAACAUUUUAAUGUUUUGGA